AUCCAGUUGACGAGUCCUACGUAAGACGAAACGUGCGUUCUGGAU
rnacentral:hammerhead_ribozyme from 1 species